GAGCUGAGGGUAGGGGUGAAAGGCUAAUCAAACUUGGAGAUAGCUCGUACUCCCCGAAAUGCAUUUAGGUGCAGCCUCGCGGGUUACUGAUGUGAGGUAGAGCGACUGAUUGGAUGCGAGGGCUUCACCGCCUAUCAAGUCCUGACAAACUCCGAAUGCGCAUCAGUUUUACCGCGGGAGUGAGGGCAUGGGUGCUAAGGUCCGUGCCCGAGAGGAGAAGAAUCCGGACUAUCAGCUAAGGCCCCGAAAUGACAGCUAAGUUAAACUAACGAAGUCUGAUUGCUAAGACAGCUAGGAUGUUGGCUUGGAAGCAGCCAUUCAUUUAAAGAGUGCGUAACAGCUCACUAGUCGAGGAAUCGGGCGUGGAUAAUAAUCGGGUAUUAAGUUGUCUGCCGAAGCUAUAGAAUCAGCAAUGAUUGGUAGGGGAGCAUUCCAUUCUGCGUUGAAGGCGUGGCGUGAGCCAUUCUGGAGCGUAUGGAAAAGCAAAUGUAGGUAUAAGUAACGAUAAAGGGGGUGAGAAACCCCCUCGCCGAAAGACUAAGGUUUCCUGAUCAACGCUAAUCGGAUCAGGGUAAGUCGGGUCCUAAGGUUCAGCCGAACGGCGAGACCGAUGGCAGAAACGGUUAAUAUUCCGUUACUACCUUUGAGGGUGACGUGGGGACGCAGGAGUGACACCGCCGCCGGCUGACGGAAUAGCCGGUUAAAGAGUGUAGACGUUGAUUUCCGCAGGCAAAUCCACGGAAAGAGUCGAACUUGACAGUAUGGAACGUCCUUCGGGACAAUCCAAUAGUGCGGGUAAGCAGACUGCCUAGAAAAUCCGCUAAACAUAACUUCAGAGGUACCCGUACCGCAAACGGACACACGUAGUCGGGUUGAAUAUACUAAGGCGCUUGAGUGAAUCACGGUUAAGGAACUAGGCAAACUGACCCUGUAACUUCGGGAUAAAGGGUCCCUACCCAGAAAUGGGAGGGCGCAGAGAAUAGGUCCAGGCAACUGUUUAACAAAAACACAGGGCUGUGCCAAUAUGAAAGUAGACGUAUACAGCCUGACACCUGCCCGGUGCUGGAAGGUUAAGAGGAGAUGUCAUCGCAAGAGAAGCAUUGAAUUGAAGCCCCAGUAAACGGCGGCCGUAACUAUAACGGUCCUAAGGUAGCGAAAUUCCUUGUCGGGUAAGUUCCGACCUGCACGAAUGGUGUAAUGAUCCGGACGCUGUCUCAACCAUGAGCUCAGUGAAAUUGUAGUAUCGGUGAAGAUGCCGAUUACCCGCGAUGGGACGAAAAGACCCCGUGAACCUUUACUAUAGCUUAGCAUUGAAUUUGGGCACGCGAUGUGUAGGAUAGGUCGGAGGCAUUGAAUCGGGCACGCCAGUGUUCGUGGAGCCGCUGUUGAAAUACGACCCUUCGUUUGUUUGAGUUCUAACUUCCGGAUAGAAGGACAUUGCUUGGUGGGUAGUUUGACUGGGGUGGUCGCCUCCAAAAGCGUAACGGAGGCUUCUAAAGGUGCCCUCAGGACGAUCGGUAACCGUCCGCAGAGUGUAAUGGCAAAAGGGCGCUUGACUGGGAGACAGACAAGUCGAGCAGGUAGGAAACUAGAGCAUAGUGAUCCGGUGUUUCCGUAUGGAAGGGACAUCGCUCAAAGGAUAAAAGGUACUCCGGGGAUAACAGGCUGAUCCCUCCCAAGAGCUCAUAUCGACGGAGUGGUUUGGCACCUCGAUGUCGGCUCGUCACAUCCUGGGGCUGGAGAAGGUCCCAAGGGUUGGGCUGUUCGCCCAUUAAAGUGGCACGCGAGCUGGGUUCAGAACGUCGUGAGACAGUUCGGUCUCUAUCUAUCGUGGGCGUAUGAAAUUUGCGUGGCUCUGACACUAGUACGAGAGGACCGUGUUGGACCGACCUCUGGUUUACCGGUUGUGCCGCCAGGCGCAUCGCCGGGUAUCUAAGUCGGGAUCGGAUAAGCGCUGAAAGCAUCUAAGUGCGAAGCCGGCCACAAGAUUAGAUUUCUUGAGGGUCGUUGAAGACGACAACGUUGAUAGGAUGCAGGUGUAAAGCUGGAGACAGCAAAGCCGAGCAUUACUAAUUGCCCGUCAGCUUUCCUU
rnacentral:rRNA from 1 species